rnacentral:rRNA from 1 species
UACGUAGGGUGCAAGCGUUAAUCGGAAUUACUGGGCGUAAAGCGUGCGCAGGCGGUUAUGCAAGACAGAUGUGAAAUCCCCGGGCUGAACCUGGGAACUGCAUUUGUGACUGCAUGGCUAGAGUACGGUAGAGGGGGAUGGAAUUCCGCGUGUAGCAGUGAAAUGCGUAGAUAUGCGGAGGAACACCGAUGGCGAAGGCAAUCCCCUGGACCUGUACUGACGCUCAUGCACGAAAGCGUGGGGAGCAAACAGG